UACGUAGGCAGCAAGCGUUGUUCGGAGUUACUGGGCGUAAAGAGUGCGUAGGCGGUCCUAUAAGUUCCGUGUGAAAUCUCCCGGCUCAACUGGGAGGGUGCGCGGAAGACUGUAGGGCUUGAGUGUGGGAGAGGUAAGCGGAAUUCCUGGUGUAGCGGUGAAAUGCGUAGAUAUCAGGAGGAACACCGGUGGCGAAGGCGGGUCUCUGGGCCGAUACUGACGCUGAGACGCGAAAGCGUGGGGAGCAAACAGG
rnacentral:rRNA from 1 species